GAUCUUGGUCAGGACGAACGCUGGCGGCGUGCCUAAUACAUGCAAGUCGAGCGGACCGACGGGAGCUUGCUCCCUUAGGUCAGCGGCGGACGGGUGAGUAACACGUGGGUAACCUGCCUGUAAGACUGGGAUAACUCCGGGAAACCGGGGCUAAUACCGGAUGCUUGAUUGAACCGCAUGGUUCAAUUAUAAAAGGUGGCUUUUAGCUACCACUUACAGAUGGACCCGCGGCGCAUUAGCUAGUUGGUGAGGUAACGGCUCACCAAGGCGACGAUGCGUAGCCGACCUGAGAGGGUGAUCGGCCACACUGGGACUGAGACACGGCCCAGACUCCUACGGGAGGCAGCAGUAGGGAAUCUUCCGCAAUGGACGAAAGUCUGACGGAGCAACGCCCGCGUGAGUGAUGAAGGUUUUCGGAUCGUAAAACUCUGUUGUUAGGGAAGAACAAGUACCGUUCGAAUAGGGCGGUACCUUGACGGUACCUAACCAGAAAGCCACGGCUAACUACGUGCCAGCCGCCGC
rnacentral:rRNA from 1 species